CAGCAGCCACGGUAAUACGAAGGGGGCUAGCGUUGCUCGGAAUUACUGGGCGUAAAGGGAGCGUAGGCGGACAGUUUAGUCAGAGGUGAAAGCCCAGGGCUCAACCUUGGAAUUGCCUUUGAUACUGACUGUCUUGAGUAUGGGAGAGGUGAGCGGAACUCCGAGUGUAGAGAUGAAAUUCGUAGAUAUUCGGAAGAACACCAGUGGCGAAGGCGACUCUCCGGUCUGUAACUGACGCUGAGGCGCGAAAGCGUGGGGAGCAAACAGGAUUAGAGACCCCUGUAGUCCCUGUCUCUUAUAC
rnacentral:rRNA from 1 species